rnacentral:lncRNA from 1 species
CAUGGCUCGGCCCGCGCGCGGCCGCGCUCAGCGCUGCCAGUAGGCCUCCACCGAGACUCCAGAAACCCUAAGGCGGGCACUGGCUAGUCUCCGCCUCCUUGGAAUCUUCCCCUUCAACAGUCCGUCUUCGCGGCUCUAAGACGCCUGUGCGAAGCGUGGCGGCCCGCCCAAGGUCCUCCAGGGUGAGCUGCGGGUCCCCGCCCGGCCCAGUGUGGUAACCAAGCAGCCAGGGAGGCUGGCGAGAGGUUCUAGAAGUCGCCUGAGAACUUUGCUACCUAAAAGGUCAGGGCCUGCCCCUAGGAACGCCGACGACACGACAUUCAAUGUAAAGAGAGCUUGUGACCUCGGAGGUAAUUGCCACAUCUGGCCGCUUAUCUGGGGGGACCAGGCGUCUGGAGGAAAUGAAGAAGAGGGCAGGACAAAGGACGUGAACACGGUCGCUGGUGCCAGCAUCGCCUCACCUCAGAAGUGGGUCAAGGAGGGGUGACUCCUGGCAUCUGUCUUAGAAGGGGCAAGUCUAGGCCACCCCCACAAAGAUGCCUGGUCCUGAUAAACCUCACUGCUGCCACCACAGAUUGUCCUACACAUGGGCAGAAAUUAUGCCUUUGAUACCUAUUUAUCAUAUGCAUUUUGAAGAUUUCUAAAUAUAUGGAUAUAUAGCUUUUAAGAGGUAAAAGUUGCCACCUGAACAGGCCAUGUGAAAUUUAGGUGGCAUUUGAAAACCUUCUUGAUCAUAUUGAGGAUGAAAAGAUGAAUUGGACAAUGUCUUUGUCAUAAGAGGGACUUUUUUCACAAUCUAGUAAGGAAAAAAGAAAACGUGAUUUGUGGCGUGAACAUGGGCAGAGUUUCAACAUAUUUCAGGAAGAAUUCAAUAAGUAGCCUGGUUUAAAAAGAAAAUGAUGCUACUGUAGAAGGGUGUGGUGAGAGAUAAGUCUUAAAGGGUGUGAUGAAAGAUACUGUGAAAAUGCCAAGCUGGUUUUGAGCAUGACUGAAUAGACAAGGAGCUUUUGUAAAUAUGAAUUCGUGAUGCUGGAACAAUUGGCUGUCAAAUGAAAAAUAAAUAAAUUAUUACCUGGCAUUAUAUACAAAAAUAAACUUCAGGUGGAUUAAAAAGUAAAUGUGAAAGGUAAAAUAUACCGGGCUGGGGUUGUGACUCAUUGGCAGAGCACUUGCCUCACGUGUGUGAGGCACUGGGUUCAAUCCUCAGCACCACAUAAAAAUAAAUAAACAAAGUAAAGAUAUUGUGCC